GACGAACGCUGGCGGCGUGCUUAACACAUGCAAGUCGAACGGAAAGGCCCUGCUUUUGUGGGGUGCUCGAGUGGCGAACGGGUGAGUAACACGUGAGUAACCUGCCCUUGACUUUGGGAUAACUUCAGGAAACUGGGGCUAAUACCGGAUAGGAGCUCCUGCUGCAUGGUGGGGGUUGGAAAGUUUCGGCGGUUGGGGAUGGACUCGCGGCUUAUCAGCUUGUUGGUGGGGUAGUGGCUUACCAAGGCUUUGACGGGUAGCCGGCCUGAGAGGGUGACCGGCCACAUUGGGACUGAGAUACGGCCCAGACUCCUACGGGAGGCAGCAGUGGGGAAUAUUGCACAAUGGGCGGAAGCCUGAUGCAUCAACGCCGCGUGCGGGAUGACGGCCUUCGGGUUGUAAACCGCUUUCGCCUGUGACGAAGCGUGAGUGACGGUAAUGGGUAAAGAAGCACCGGCUAACUACGUGCCAGCAGCCGCGGUGAUACGUAGGGUGCGAGCGUUGUCCGGAUUUAUUGCGCGUAAAGGGCUCGUAGGUGGUUGAUCGCGUCGGAAGUGUAAUCUUGGGGCUUAACCCUGAGCGUGCUUUCGAUACGGGUUGACUUGAGGAAGGUAGGGGAGAAUGGAAUUCCUGGUGGAGCGGUGGAAUGCGCAGAUAUCAGGAGGAACACCAGUGGCGAAGGCGGUUCUCUGGGCCUUUCCUGACGCUGAGGAGCGAAAGCGUGGGGAGCGAACAGGCUUAGAUACCCUGGUAGUCCACGCUGUAAACGGUGGGUACUAGGUGUGGGGUCCAUUCCACGGGUUCCGUGCCGUAGCUAACGCUUUAAGUACCCCGCCUGGGGAGUACGGCCGCAAGGCUAAAACUCAAAGGAAUUGACGGGGCCCCGCACAAGCGGCGGAGCAUGCGGAUUAAUUCGAUGCAACGCGUAGAACCUUACCUGGGUUUGACAUGGAUCGGGAGCGCUCAGAGAUGGGUGUGCCUCUUUUGGGGUCGGUUCACAGGUGGUGCAUGGCUGUCGUCAGCUCGUGUCGUGAGAUGUUGGGUUAAGUCCCGCAACGAGCGCAACCCUUGUUCACUGUUGCCAGCACGUUAUGGUGGGGACUCAGUGGAGACCGCCGGGGUCAACUCGGAGGAAGGUGGGGAUGACGUCAAGUCAUCAUGCCCCUUAUGUCCAGGGCUUCACGCAUGCUACAAUGGCUGGUACAGAGAGUGGCGAGCCUGUGAGGGUGAGCGAAUCUCGGAAAGCCGGUCUCAGUUCGGAUUGGGGUCUGCAACUCGACCUCAUGAAGUCGGAGUCGCUAGUAAUCGCAGAUCAGCAACGCUGCGGUGAAUACGUUCCCGGG
rnacentral:rRNA from 1 species